AUUGAACGCUGGCGGCAGGCUUAACACAAGCAAGUCGAGCGGAGAUGAGGUGCUUGCACCUUAUCUUAGCGGCGGACGGGUGAGUAAUGCUUAGGAAUCUGCCUAUUAGUGGGGGACAACAUUCCGAAAGGAAUGCUAAUACCGCAUACGCCCUACGGGGGAAAGCGGGGGAUCUUCGGACCUUGCGCUAAUAGAUGAGCCUAAGUCGGAUUAGCUAGUUGGUGGGGUAAAGGCCUACCAAGGCGACGAUCUGUAGCGGGUCUGAGAGGAUGAUCCGCCACACUGGGACUGAGACACGGCCCAGACUCCUACGGGAGGCAGCAGUGGGGAAUAUUGGACAAUGGGCGGAAGCCUGAUCUAGCCAUGCCGCGUGUGUGAAGAAGGCCUUUUGGUUGUAAAGCACUUUAAGCGAGGAGGAGGCUACCUGGAUUAAUACUCUAGGAUAGUGGACGUUACUCGCAGAAUAAGCACCGGCUAACUCUGUGCCAGCCGCCGCAGUAA
rnacentral:rRNA from 1 species